rnacentral:rRNA from 1 species
AUUGAACGCUGGCGGCGUGCUUAACACAUGCAAGUCGAUCGGUAACGCGGGGGCAACCCUGGCGACGAGAGGCGGACGGGUGAGGAACGCUUGGGAAUCUGCCUAUCAGCGGGGGACAACACGGGGAAACUCGUGCUAAUACCGCAUACGCUCUACGGAGGAAAGCCGGGGACCGCAAGGCCUGGCACUGAUAGAUGAGCCCAAGCCGGAUUAGCUAGUUGGCGGGGUAACGGCCCACCAAGGCGACGAUCCGUAGCUGGUCUGAGAGGACGAUCAGCCACACUGGGACUGAGACACGGCCCAGACUCCUACGGGAGGCAGCAGUGGGGAAUAUUGGACAAUGGGGGAAACCCUGAUCCGGCGACGCCGCGUGGGUGAAGAAGGCCUGCGGGUUGUAAAGCCCUUUCGGUAGGGACGAAAGCUCUCGACCUAACACGUCGGGAGGUUGACUUAACCAACAAAAGAAGCACCGGCUAACUCUGUGCCAGCCGCCGCCGUAACAC